rnacentral:rRNA from 1 species
GCGGAGGAAAAGAAACCAACAGGGAUUGCCUCAGUAACGGCGAGUGAAGCGGCAAAAGCUCAAAUUUGAAAUCCUUCGGGAGUUGUAAUUUGUAGGUUGGGAGACCCCGCGGCUAGUGGCACCAAGUCCCUUGGAACAGGGCGCCUUAGAGGGUGAGAGCCCCGUAGGUACCACAACACCGUCUUGUGUCUCCUCUCCAAAGAGUCGAGUUGUUUGGGAAUGCAGCUCAAAGUGGGUGGUAAAUUCCAUCUAAAGCUAAAUACCGGCGAGAGACCGAUAGCGAACAAGUACAGUGAUGGAAAGAUGAAAAGCACUUUGAAAAGAGAGUGAAACAGUACGUGAAAUUGUUGAAAGGGAAGGGCUUGCAAGCAGACACGGCCUUCGUGCCGGGCCAGCAUCGGUUGCUAGGGGUGGAUAAGGAACAAGGAAUGUAGCUCCUCGGAGUAUUAUAGCCUUGCGCGAUACACCCACUGGCGACCGAGGCCUGCGGUAUUCUUUACCUAGGAUGCUGGCGUAAUGGUUGCAAGCCGCCCGUCUU